rnacentral:rRNA from 1 species
GAUGAACGCUGGCGGCGUGCCUAAUACAUGCAAGUCGAGCGAACAGACGAGGAGCUUGCUCCUCUGAUGUUAGCGGCGGACGGGUGAGUAACACGUGGAUAACCUACCUAUAAGACUGGGAUAACUUCGGGAAACCGGAGCUAAUACCGGAUAACAUGUUGAACCGCAUGGUUCAACAGUGAAAGACGGUCUUGCUGUCACUUAUAGAUGGAUCCGCGCCGCAUUGGCUAGUUGGUAAGGUAACGGCUUACCAAGGCAACGAUGCGUAGCCGACCUGAGAGGGUGAUCGGCCACACUAGAACUGAGACACGGUCCAGACUCCUACGGGAGGCAGCAGUAGGGAAUCUUCCGCAAUGGGCGAAAGCCUGACGGAGCAACGCCGCGUGAGUGAAGAAGGUCUUCGGAUCGUAAAACUCUGUUAUUAGGGAAGAACAAAUGUGUAAGUAACUAUGCACGUCUUGACGGUACCUAAUCAGAAAGCCACGGCUAACUACGUG